AUCACAUAGCCCCCUCUAGAAUGUCAUCCUGGUUAAUUUGUGUACAACUACUGAUAUGUCUAUUAUUAAAGACAACCGUAAGAGUUUGGUAGAUAGAAAGGUUGUUCUCUCAUUUUGUGUAUUACCUUCCAAUGUAUGUGUGUUAUAAAAUAUAGAUUGUUUGCAUUUUUUUUCUGUGUGUGUGAAACAGAAGAUUACAUGAAGGGUGAUUGAGAGGUGGUGCCUAAGGGCCUGCUCCAUGCAGGUGGGAUCCUAAAAUGUUAAUGCAGGAAGUGGCCUCAUUUUAUGGAGAAGAAACUUGGUUCCAGAGGGGUUGUGAUGUCCCAGAAUUAUACUAUAAAUUAAUAACAAAUUAGGAGUAGGGUGACCUUGGGCAAUUCCCAAGCAUUGUCUAAGUCAUGAUGUUAAAUGCCUGAGCCCUCCAACAGUGAUUUUAAUAAGGCUUAUAUUGCCUUUUGUUGCCAAAUGGAUUUGAUUCAUAAUUCUCACACCAGCCCUGAAAGGAUAUGUCUUCAUGCCUCAGCACAUCAUGGCGAUACUGCACUACUUUGAGAUUGUACAAUGACCAGCAUGUGACCGGACUCGAGCGGCUCCUUGGGGAAGAAGCGUCCUCUGAAGUUGGGGUGAAACCUCAUCAGAUGUCAUAAGAAACUCUACUAGAUGUCACCAUAACCAACCCUACGGAUAUAAAGACUAAAAUUCAUGAGUAGAACAGGAAAAUAAUCCUGACUCAUGUGUUGUGUUCUUUAUUUUUAAUUUUAAAAGAGGCUCUUGUAUAGUAGUUUUUGUCUAUUUUAACAUUGUAGUCAUUUGUACUUUGAUAUCAGUAUUUUCUUAACCUUUGUGACCGUUUCAAUAUUACCCUGUGAAAGCUUUUCUUAAUGUAACUUUGAGUACAUUUUAAUUGCCUUCUAUUUCUAAAACCCAAAGUCAUUAGUUGGGCUCUGCUGUUCUUGCUAUUGUACGGCACAUCCAUCUGCCUGGGUAUAUUUCUACUCUUGACCAAAGUUUUGUAAGAAACAAUACAAGAUUUGGGGCAGGGGGAUGGGGAGGGAGGAUAUUUUAUUGAGAACUAUUUACUAAAGACUUAUCUGUAAGUUUGAACUCAGGAGUACAGUUUUAGCUAUCUAGACUCUACUCUUAACAGCUUUUGCUUUAAAACUAUUAAAGUAUUUCUUAACAAUGAAAAAGAAAGAUCUUGCUAAAGUUAAAAUAAGGAACAUUUCACCUUUUAAAUAUUUAAUUCUUAUGUGGACUCAUUUCCAGAAAACUUUGGUGAUGAUUCUUAUGACAAUAGGUUAAAUAGCAUUGUUAUGUAAUGCUUAUAUCCAUAGAGUUUUUAGUAGAAAGUAAAUCAGUUUCCUUUGAGGGUUAUUAUUAGCAAUGUACUUCCUUAAAUUUAGUUUCCUGAUUGUAACGGGUGCUGCAAAUGCAUUUGCACAUUGCAAUAAGAUGAGAUGAAUUGUUAAAAACUAUAGCAAAAAGAAAUGUAAACUUGGUUAAAAUCCUUUCACUCUUUGUAUUUUUUUUUAAAGAUUUUUAUUCCUUAAAU
rnacentral:lncRNA from 1 species